rnacentral:rRNA from 1 species
UACGGGGGGGGCAAGCGUUGUUCGGAAUUACUGGGCGUAAAGGGCUCGUAGGUGGCCAACUAAGUCAGGGGUGAAAUCCUGGAGCUCAACUCCAGAACUGCCUUUGAUACUGGGGAUCUCGAGUCCGGAAGAGGUGAGUGGAACUCCGAGUGUAGAGGUGAAAUUCGUAGAUAUUCGGAAGAACACCAGUGGCGAAGGCGGCUCACUGGUCCGGUACUGACGCUGAGGUGCGAAAGCGUGGGGAGCAAACAGG